GCUCCGGUGGCCUAGUGGUUAGAGCAUCCUAUUCGGAUGUGGGAGGUCGUGGGUUCGAUCCCCGGUUGAGUCA